ensembl:lncRNA
GUUGGGGUGUCUCCUGUCAGCAUGCAGGAUUUCCUGGUCUCAUUCUUUAAUAGCUCUGUCAACUGUGUAAAGUUAAACGAGGGCGGGUGGUUUAGAAAGGUCUGCCUGAUUGAUCAGCAGCUGGAUCUUGCUUCACUGGACAGGUGUAAAUUAGCUGCUCAGACAUGCUGCUCAGAACAGGAUAGCCAUUGUUUGGUGUACCCCGCCUUGUCCCCCAUGCCCCCUGGGAUAGGGUCCAGGCUCCCCGAAACCCAGCAGGAUAAGUGGUAUAGAAAAUGGCUGGAUGGACUAUUUCACAGCAGCUUCUAAACCCCAAUACACAGAGAGCAUUUAGUAGACGUCCCAGCCACUGCUUAUGUGAUGAGCUAUAGCUUCAGUAAAUUAAAUAUUAUUGUCAGACUGGUUGUAAGAGCAUAUUGGGGACACAAGAACUCAUGUUUUUCACAGCACCUGUUCACACAUGUACAUCUGGCCCUGAA